AUUUCCUCCCUGAUGUUCUUCCAUGGAAGGACCCUGAGGUUCACAGGGCACUAUGCCAUCUUGAACAGCAGGAUUUCUCCAGUCCCUGUGCAGGGGACAGUGUGUCAUUCUGGGACCCUCAAUGAGGAAAGGCAUCUAAGAGAUCUCUCAAGGACUAGUAUUUUUCAAAAUGUGAUCCAACAACCCUCCAUCCACAGGGGGCUCAUUAGAAAUGCAGGUUCUGAGAUCUAUUCCAAAAUUACCAAAUCAGAAAUGGAGCAGAAAUAUGAAAAUUUAAUGGGUUUCCUAGGAGAUUUUAAAGCACACUAAAGCCUGAGAGCCACUGCCCUGGGCUGCCUGGACUUCAUCUCUCCUCACCAUUUUCAUUCCUGGGAAUGAGAUGAUAUGGUCUUUGACUAGAGUUAGAUAGGUAGAUAGAUAGAUCUUACAUUUAAAUAAUAUCUAUCUACUAAUUCAGUCAGCUUUUAUUGAAGGCUUUCUAUUACUAGGCACCAUAAUGGAAUUAAUAAAGGUAGAACACCUACCAUAUUCUAUACUGAUUGCUUUCAUAAAUUAACUCCUUUGAUCCUUACAACUUUAUAGUUACUACUGUUAUAUUCAUUCAACGGAGGAGCAAACCAAAGCACAGAGAGAUUAAGAAAAAUUUUCAAGAUUAGAGAGCCUGUAAAUGGCACAGAGUUUGAACCCAGGUAGUCAGCUCCAGAACCCAUGAGCUUAACUACUAUAUGAUAUACUCUUCUCAAAGCUGGAGAGGAAUAAGACUUGGUUAUUGCAGCAACCCUCCCAGCCCCAACCGCAGGAGCUCACAGUCUCAGCAGGAAUCCAGACUUCAGACAUAUACAUAGGUCAUUACAUAUGCUUGUUAAUUGCUAUGAUAAUGUAUGAACAGAAUGCUAUGAGAAUUAGGAGGAAAUUAUUAACUGCCAACGGUGUCAAGAAAGGCUUCCAGAAAAAUAUAUGGCUCAGUGAGAACAGGAUUUCUGUCUCUUUAGCUUCUUCUAGCACAGUAUUUUACAAAUAUUAGGUGCUCAAAAUAAAUAUGUUGAAUGAGUGAAUUAAUGAAUGAGAUGAUUCAUUGCAGCUGGUAUUGAAGAAUCGGGAGGAGAUUUUGUGACAAGUAAGAGGGAGAAGCAUGCACACAGCCUGGAGGAGUAAAUGGCUACAAAUAAUUUGUUUUGGCAAAAGACAUUAAAUGUGACAGGAGCAAAGGUGCCUGGGAGAGGGGUGAUGGGACUGAUGUGAGGAGCAGGGACAAAGAGGAGGCUGAGAGUGAAAGAUCUUCUGCUCUGUGCGAAAGAAUUUAGAUUAGUUCUCUGGGCAGCCUCCUCAGGCAGGGGAGUGACAUUAUCAGAUUUCUCUGAUGGGAAGACACCUCUGGGGGCCAGUGUGGAAGGCAUAAAGUGGAUUAGUGUGAAGGAAGUCUGGCAGGAGGAAGGCCAGCUAGGAAGAUUGAAGGAGUAAGAGCAAGAGAUUUGGAAGGUCUGAGCUACCGCACAGGCCAACAGGAAUAGAAAAGGAGGACCCAUUAGAGACACUUGUUUGAGGCAGGAGAGGCAGGAUUCAAGUGAGCAGCGAGUGUCCAGAUUAGACUUUAUUUUCUAACACAAAUGGCAAUGGCAUUAACUGAAAUAAGGACUCCAAGAAAGGGAAGUAUGAGGUGGAGAGAGUUAAAGAGCUCAGUUUUAAACAGGUUAGGUUGCAGUCACCUGUCAGUCCUUCCAGGGAAGAGAAAUUCCCAGCAGGCAUUUAUUAAGAUGAAUGAACAGCAAGUUUUCAAAUGGGGACAUGGUGUUUGGUAUCAUCAGCAUCAGGGAGGGAGGUGAAGCCAUGGGAGCAGAGAACAUCCCUCAGGAAAAGUGCAUAAAGGGAGAAGAGAGAGGACUAAGAAUGUAUUCAUGAAAAGUAGCCUUUAGCGGGAAAUCAGAAAAUGAGACUCUGGUACUCUGCUGUGAGAGCGUAAUUAUGUAUAACCUCAGAGGACAAUUUGUCGAUAUGUAUCAAAAACCUUAAAAAUAUUCGUAAUCUUUGACCCACCCAGCAAUUCUUCUUUUUAGAAUUUAUGUGCAAGAAACAACGAAUUGGAUUUUUAUGGGAUUUGUUGUAUGUUGGCUUGUGCCUCCUGCUAUGGAAUAGGGUUAUUUUGUUUGUGAAGAUAAUAAGAGCUUAUGAUUGGAAGAAUGAUAUUGUGGGUAUAAGAUAGUUGACAUACCUAAGGGAGUCUCCCAGGAAAUAGCCACUGUAGACAAAUAGAAAAGCUGGAAGAGUUGAUAGAACUGGAAGGAGCCUCAUCAACUCUACUGAAGGCCUGAAUCAUUUCUACAGCAUCCAGCUUUUUUUUGACAGGGAAUGAGAGAUGAACACAUACCUUGUCUGGGGCUGGCAACUGCCAACUUUUUCUUGAAGGGAGGGAAGUGUAUACUUAAACUGCCGAGACAGUCUCGGGUUUGGGAAAGAGAUUUCUGUUCAUCUCUUUAAACUACGGAACGUUUAUAGUGUGCACUCCACUGUAAAGGAAGCCCGUGAAGUUUGCUUGGCAUAGGAGUAAUACAGAGGCUGGGGUCUGGGAUGUCUUCUCAGCAUUUAAAUGCUUCUUAAUUUAAAACAUGUUUUCAAGAGCUGAAAAUGAAUAUGAUGGCUGCAUGGUAUAGUAGAAGGGAGUAAUGUGCUGAGGGCCUGAAGAGCUAGCUUUCAGCCCACAGGGGAAAAGCACUGUGGCAGGCAAGAGAGAUACAAAACUUAUUAAAACAUAUACUCUUUCCUGAUUCAAGGCAAUAAACACUACAGAGCACGCAGCUAUUAAUAACUAUAAUAAAUUCGGAAUAUGAUAUUACUCUAAAUAAAGUAGAACUAGUAUAUAGAGUAGAGGCAGUGGGUUAGGAGUUUUUAAAUUGUAGUUUUUUCCCAGACCAGCAGCAUCAGUAUCACCUCACCUAGGAACUUAAUAGCAAUGCAAAUUUCCAGGCCCUACUGGAGAAACGGGGCUGGCAGCGUAAGCUGUACUUUAGCCCUACAGGUGAUUCAGAUUCUCC
rnacentral:lncRNA from 1 species